rnacentral:tRNA from 1 species
GGGGGUGUUGCUUAGUGGUAGAGCACUUGCCUAGCAUGCAUGAGGUGCCACCCCCA